AUGAAAAUCAGUGCUUCAAUUUGCUUAGAGACGGAGCUGGUUGAUGCUGGACAAGAACCUAUGGGGGAAGACCAACAAGAUGAGCAGCCAGAAGGAGUUAUCCCAGAGGCUCCUCAGAUGCCACCAGCUUUGAAAGAGAAGUGGAGCCCUGUCCAAGCUACUGGGCAGAGCACAAGAUUUGACUGCAAGGGGAAGACCAUGAUGGAGCUAGCCCAGGAGAACAAAAAGGUGAAAAAUCUUGAGACCCCCAAGCCUGCAGCUAACCCAAGCCUUUGGUUAUUUGGUCAAUCAAGUUUCAUUUUUGUUGCUCACACUGUAGGAGUAGAUAUUUCUGAUGUUCUAGCUGAUCACUCUCUAGUUGAUUUAACAAUUUAG
rnacentral:rRNA from 1 species